CAUGACUUUUCUACUAAUAGUAGUUACAAGCUGUUGCUACAUCCAUUGUUGUCAUGGUCAUUCAAAGCAGUCAUUCAUGACAAACAAAGCGAGGCACACACGGAAGUUGCUUUGAAGGAGACCAUUAGCCAGAAAAGUUACAAAACCGAAUUAGGGAAAGAAAAAUAACAAUUACGAAAGGUUGUUCUAAAGAUCUCUGCCUUCUUGAAUCUUGGGAAGAGAGACAAGGAACAUGGAAGCAAGGCGGGAAUCUCUCCCGGUACCCAAAGUCCAGCUGAAGCAAAAAUUUUGGGUAACAGAAGGUAGCGUAGCUAAGCUACUGAUGGUCGGUGCCAAGAUCGUGGAGGCAGUCACUCAGACGGACCGUUAUUACGACACGGCUUCGGAUGAUCUAGCAAUGGCUGGAUUAUGGCUAAGUCAAAGGGACCAAGAGUGGUUUCUCAUAGUAGAAUCUCAGAAGGAAGAACCCCAAAGAAAGCUUGAGGAACAAAGCCAGGGAAAUGUCACCAAUCCAGAAUCUUUAUGCCAGAAGAUGAGCCUUGUCCAGCUGGACCCUCCUCAUGUCUGUAGGAAGUCAUCCAAACCAAAUCCAGAAGAGCUGGAAUCUUUCCUCAACCACCAGGGUCAACAGCUUGACGGGAAGACAGCAGAUUCAGAAUCCGACGGUCCAAAUGUUAGUUCUACCUUCACAGAGUUGGUAGGCAAGAAGGAGGUCAUGGCCUACCUAGAAACCCAUCUUCACCUAGAUUUACAAACCGAGGAACGAGAAGAGGCAACGAUGGAAAUUUUCCUGCAGAAGGCAGGCAUAGAACAUUAUGCCAGCAACCACCUCAUUAACCAAACCACAUAUCUAUUGUCGGAUAGGUAUACUAUUAUCGUCCAAAGGGAAGAGAGUGGUUUAAGGGAGUCUGUAAUGGUGUCGUUAGAGGUUGAUGUUUUUAACAUUUGCGGAGGUUGGGAAGAGAUUGAAAAAUUGGCCGCUUACCUGGGCUUUGAACACCCAGGAAGUCAGAGCGAGCGAGAAUUUAUGAAGUAGCAAACCACCCAAAUAAAAAAAAAAGCAAUUGC